CACGUAGGCCGCUUUGUAAGUCAGGGGUGAAAUCCCACGGCUCAACCGUGGAACUGCCUUUGAAACUGCAGAGCUUGAAUCCUGGAGAGGGUGGCGGAAUUCCUGGUGUAGGAGUGAAAUCCGUAGAUAUCAGGAGGAACACCGGUGGCGAAGGCGGCCACCUGGACAGGCAUUGACGCUGAGGUGCGAAAGUGUGGGGAGCAAACA
rnacentral:rRNA from 2 species